rnacentral:misc_RNA from 1 species
GAUGAAGAACGUAGCGAAAUGCGAUAAGUAAUGUGAAUUGCAGAAUUCAGUGAAUCAUCGAAUCUUUGAACGCACAUUGCGCCCCCUGGUAUUCCGGGGGGCAUGCCUGUUCGAGCGUCAUUUCACCACUCAAGCCUCGCUUGGUAUUGGGCAACGCGGUCCGCCGCGUGCCUCAAAUCGACCGGCUGGGUCUUCUGUCCCCUAAGCGUUGUGGAAACUUUCGCUAAAGGGUCUUCGGGAGGCUACGCCGUAAAACAACCCCAUUUCUAAGGUUGACCUCGGAUCAGGUAGGGAUACCCGCUGAACUUAAGCAUAUCAAUAAGCGGAGGA